GACGAACGUUGGCGGCGUGCUUAAUACAUGCAAGUCAACUGAAGCACCGGUAGUAAUACUGGUGUGGAGGUGGCGCACGGGUGAGUAACACGUAGGUAAUCUGCCUUCAGGUCUGACAUAACCCCGAGAAAUCGGGGCUAAUAGCAGAUGAUGCAGCGGCUUGACAUCAAGACAGUUGUUAAAGCUUCGGCGCCUGAAGAUGAGCCUGCGUCUGAUUAGCUAGUUGGCGGAGUAAUGGCCCACCAAGGCUACGAUCAGUAACUGGUCUGAGAGGAUGAUCAGUCACACUGGAACUGAGACACGGUCCAGACUCCUACGGGAGGCAGCAGUAAGGAAUAUUGCUCAAUGGAGAAAUCCUGAAGCGAGC
rnacentral:rRNA from 1 species